CAGUCGCCGCGGGAAUACGUAGGGUGCGAGCGUUAAUCGGAAUUACUGGGCGUAAAGCGGGCGCAGACGGUUACUUAAGCAGGAUGUGAAAUCCCCGGGCUCAACCUGGGAAUUGCGUUCUGAACUGGGUGGCUAGAGUGUGUCAGAGGGGGGUAGAAUUCCACGUGUAGCAGUGAAAUGCGUAGAGAUGUGGAGGAAUACCGAUGGCGGAGGCAGCCCCCUGGGAUAGCACUGACGUUCAUGCCCGAAAGCGUGGGUAGCAAACAGGAUUAGAGACCCCAGUAGUCCCUGUCUCUUAUAA
rnacentral:rRNA from 1 species